rnacentral:rRNA from 1 species
CCCUUAGAUGUUCUGGGCCGCACGCGCGCUACACUGAUACGUUCAACAAGUUCCUUGGCCGAAAGGUCUGGGUAAUCUUUGAAACCGUAUCGUGAUGGGGAUAGAACAUUGCAAUUAUUGUUCUUCAACGAGGAAUGCCUAGUAAGCGCGAGUCAUCAACUCGCGUUGAUUACGUCCCUGCCCUUUGUACACACCGCCCGUCGCUACUACUGAUUGGAUGUUUAAGCGAGGUUCUCGAACUGCUAGCGACUUAGCUUCGGUGAGGUCGCAGUGUGGGAAGUGAACCUAGCUUUGGUGUCUAGAGGAAGUAAAAGUCGUAACA